rnacentral:tRNA from 1 species
GGAAAAAUUGCUAUUGGUAAGGCAAGAUAUUUGCUAAAUAUUGUGUAAUUAACACCUGGAUGUUCGAAUCAUCUUUUUUCCGC